CUUACUUUUAGAUGGAGUGAAAAUUGGAAUAGGUCUCACGAACAAUAGAUUGAACAAUGCCAAUCUGUAAUGAAAUAACCAUAAUAAUAUAUAUAUCAAAACACAUGCAUCUAAACCCUAGAACACACACCGCGUAAUUUCCAAUGACAUAGCCUAUCAUUCUAAACAUUAAAUAUUCAACAAUAGAAGUAGUUACAAAGAAACGGAAUGAAAAAAUAUAUAUAAAAAAAAUAAAUCACUGAACGAAUUAUUUAAAAAUAUUCAGAUAAGAUUGAUAGUUGGUGAAGAAAAAUAUAUAGGAGUAACAAAAAUAACAAAAGUUGGUGAAACCAGAAUCACCAUGGUGGCAGAGAACGAUAUAGAUAUAAAACUUGAUAUGGAGAUAGAGAGAGAUGAGUUAGGAUUACCUCAAGACGGUGUCCGGCGAUGGUGGAAGAGAAGGGAAAGUGCGGCAAUGGUAUAUGAGCCUUAGAUUCACACCCAACUUGUUGUAUUGGAAGCAAGAAUAUCACAUUGUUGAAGAUGAGAGCAAGUCGGCGAGUUUGAUAGAGAGCGAGAAUGUGAGUCUGUAAGCAGAUUUGUGCCCUAGAUAAACCUUAAUUUUAAAAAGUUAUAACGAC
rnacentral:lncRNA from 1 species